rnacentral:lncRNA from 1 species
AAGUAUCCUCAUCAUAGUCACUAGCGGACUCAUACCCACCAUCCUCAGUAGCAAUCAUCACAUGCUUAGAUGGGAAUUCUCUCGCAUAAUGACCUCCACCCUUGCAACGAUGAGAAAUAAUAUCAUGUGUUUGCCUAGUUGAUGCCAUGGAUGAAAAAGAGCUCUGUGCAGGGCCUACUGUGGCACCCCGAUCUGCAUGGAGCAGGGGGCCUUCGCACGUCAGCCUAGGAUAACACCUGAGGCACGACAGGUCCAUAAUACAGCAUUCCAGGUACAAGAAUAUUCAUCAAAUACAUGUAUAUAAGAUUACAUCAUUGAUGAAAACAAUUAUCUGGCAUAGCCCUAAGGCUAUUAAAUGACAGCGGAAGUCUGAUUGAAUGGCGGCGGAAGUCUUGGUUUGGCAGUAUAACAACUCUGGCUGGGCUCCACAACUCACAGGACUGGCAAGAUUAUGGCCUAGCACGACGGAUCAAGCGAGCAAUACGGGUACGACCUAAAAAACUGGCAUGACACGCCAGGUCAGUACAUUGAAUGUACUUGCAAGACAACCAAAUACAUAGCAUCCAAACAAGCUGCAGACAAAGCAAGAACCGAGCGCAUGCAACACCCUAUCUCAUAUCAAUUACUAAACAUGGCAUGAUAAAAAUCAACUAAGCAUGAACAAAAUCAUAACAUCUACUAACAUGGCAAUGACAUGGCAUAUCAGAACAUGAUUAUAACAUUGUAAUAGCAAAACAUAGAAUUUUAUCUCAAUCAUGGCAUAACUUAACAUGUCAAUCAAAGCAUAGCAUGGCAUCAAGAAACUAUGCUGAAAAGAAACUACCAAUAAUAUCCAAUGCAGACAUAGCAUGUUAACAUUAUGCAAUCAUCUUGUGUUCUACCAUGGUUCUAUAAAUGCAAAUAAUGAUAUAUUAUUCCAGCAAUGCAACCAAACUUGUGCACCGAGUCCCUCGGACUCUCUUAUCAACUGUGAUCAUCUCUGGAUCACAAACACACCACCAAAGUGGUCUUUCUCAAGAACAACUCGUGAUCCUUACGGCGAUCACAACCACGACCAACACUUGGUCUCCAACCGUGAUCCUUACGGCGAUCACAACCACGACCAAUAUUUGGCCCGUGAUCUUUACGGCGAUCACAACCACUUAUCUCAUCAUCAAAAUAUCGUCGUGACUCCUCACGACUAUCUCAUAGUUCAAGUUACCAUAUUCUUGUUAUCACAUAUUUAUUUACCAACUUAAUUAUUUCGGUUUGUCCUCCAUUUCGACCAAGACCUGAUAGUGGGUCCUACUACGAACUGUUGCUAUCGAUAGACUUUAUACACUCUACAGAGGUAGCACACUGUACCCACACCACGGAACCCAUGGCCUCGUCAUCCCAUUCGGGUGGACCAACGACAUUCCGACGAAACCAACCUACUGCCAAGACGCUCUCCCGGCCACUCCGACCCAAUCCCCAACGGACUGGUCCUGGGUGGCCCCGUGUCUACCAAAGACACCCCGACCACUGGCGUGGUCAACUCCCACUCGUGGACUGGUACCAAAAAUCUCAAAAACGAGCACACAAGGUUAUGUCCGCUUACCUGAUCAGGGUAAGCACGCCCAUAACCUUCCCUAGUGGGAGGCACCGGCGAGAGUCACGACAAUAGCUCGCAUUAAGGCCUCCCAUAAGGCAAAUGUGGCUACACUGAAAAAGUUCGGUUUGGCGGCACUAUGACUCGAUCCCAUCGAUGACGGAGGAGGUUUGUUAUUAUUAAGUCAUUUUAUUUCCUUCUCCAUCAUCAUGAACAUAUUUAACAUGAGUGCAACAUGCCGCAUACAAAUGCACAAACAAAAUAUUGAACUCCUCAAGUGCACAACUAUAACAUAAAGGACACGACAAUAGUAUAUCAACGGUGCAUUACAAUCCUCAUAACAGUUUAUAACGAUGACAUGCAAAUAAAGUAGAGUAGUGGCAUGGCAUUAUUAAUAAUAACAUUCUAAUUAACAUGGCAAAGGUAUCAUGAAACACAAGCAUGCAAGAUAGGCAUAAAGAAAUAACUGCCGAUGAAAAUGAUAUAAAACAACUGCAACUACACACACACAAGGUGAAAGCAAAGUCAACAUGCAAGUUCGGGGCUCAUGAUAAGAGGUUGGCUUGCCUGGGGGUCGACAAAUACUCCCGGAAGAAGUGGGAAAUGAUCGUGAAAAGAUUUGCCGGAAAUAGUUCUCUCUCAAAGGGGGGCUGUUUACAGGCAAGGGCAGAAUGGUCAUUUUCACUAUGUGAAAACAUUACGAAAAUGAUAUCAACAGAACGGGCUCGACGAAACGAAGACGUGGGCUUUGGAAUCACCUGAUUCGGAGCUACGGGUAAAAAGAUAUGACUGUUUAACUACCAGGGACCUAUCGGUAAAAAAAAUCAUUACAAACUGGGCCCUGGAAGAAAAACAGAUCGCGUCUUUCUCAGAAAUACGCUUUCCAGAGAGGAAAGCGCAUUCUGGCCCGAAGAAGAGGAGAAAUACGCUUUCGGCUAAGGGAAAGCGCACUCCACGGAAUACGCCUUCGGGGUAGCGAAAGCAGAAAACGGCCGAGGCGCCACCACUUAACUGACGUGGCACUGGGCCAGGCCCAUCGGUCGCCGACAGGUGGGGCCGCGCGGGAAGGGGCCCGCCUGGCCCUGGCGUCUUCUACCUCUGGCUUGGGAGUGAGCGAGGCCGAGGGAGGAGAUCGCCUCGACGGCGAUUGCCGGCGCGUCCGACCACCUCUCGAGUCGCACGACCUACCCAGAAGAUCGGGGUGGAGAGACGCAUCGGAUGGUGGUCUCGGUUGCCGACGAGAG